CCAAUAACAUCAAAGGUAUUGGCUCUGGUUGUUUGAGAGUAAUAUAUUUUCUUGAAAAGCUUUCCAUCCUUUUCUAGUGUUUAUUUGGCUAAAAAUAUUUUACUAAUAUAAAAUUAAUUACAAAACACGGGAAAAAGAAGCCCUUAAUUUUGGAAAAUGUCUUACCGUUUCUAAUUCGGUAAGACAUUUUCCGAAAAAUUAGAAGCCGGCAUCGAUUUUCUGCUUCCCCUUCCCCCAUCCUUGACACCUGAUCUUCUGCUUGCCGUCAGCCAACACCGAUUCUCAACACCAGACACCGGCGUUCAUCAAAUCUUUUCCCCAUCUUUGCCUUUCGUUGUCAAAAUCUGCACUGGCGUUCAUCUUCCUCUCUCGAAGGCUGCUGAAAAGAAUCAAAGUACUAAACCAACUAGCAUCGUUUGUGCUGAUUGCGAAGGAAAUGGUAACGAAAAUUUUAGGUGCAAAACAAUGUUCUCAAUGCAAAGGAACUGCGUUUAAUUCAGUUGAUCACUUCAAUGGACAAUUUAAAGCUGGUGGGCUGUGUUGGCUUUGCAGUUGUAGAAACUGGCACAUUCUUGGUUCCAAAGAAAGUGCUAAAGUCAUUCAAGGAUAUAGGCAAUGGUGAUGCACUCAUGCUUUAAUCUUCCUGCAACCAUGGAUUAGCAUCAAAAUUCUUGGAAGUGAUUUUAUUUCAGUGAAUCGGGGAAAAGGGAGAUUUUAUGUGGGAAUUGUAAUGGGUGGAUUUAUGAGCACCUUGGAUGACUGAUAUAAAAGCUACAAUUUUGUCUCACCAGAGGAGAUUUACCAUAACAAGCUUUUUAAUCUCGCCCUGUUUCUUGGAUUUUGGCAUGCACAAGUUUGUUAUAUACUUAGUAAAAAAAAAGGGAACAACCUUUUUAUAAUUAUUCAAUCUUUGUUUUUUUGUAUUUUUAUGACACAACUAGAAAUAAUUUAUUUGCUUUGCUUGUUUUCAAUGUAUGACGGUUAAUAUUCUAGCUUAAUAAUUAAGUAUUGUUAUAUAUUUAA